rnacentral:pre_miRNA from 13 species
UGAACACUGAAGGCACACAUCACCCAAACAGUAGCAUUUUCCUGUGUAUUUUUCUGCUAAGUGCUACUGGUUUGGGCAAUGUUUACCU